CGCGCCUCCCGACCCCGGCUGCGCUUCACGCCCGGGUGGUGUCCCGCCUGGUGCAUCUCUUUUACCCACUCUUUCGCCCAUCACCUUCGGCGAAUACCGUGAGAGCAAGGGCAGGGGAGGAAGCGUGAAGAAAACAAAAGCACACACCUCCUAAGCACACGCCUCCUGCUCACUCUGGACCCCGCCCCCGAAAGGGAAGGAACCGGGCAGCAGGGAGGGGGGGGCGACGCCUCAAGCGCCAUCUUUUACGUGGGCGGAAGAAGUUGCUGCUUAAUUUUUCGUUUCCUCGUGGGACGCCGUAGGUACGUCCUGGAGUUUUCGAUUUGCGAUUACGUGAACGCGCGAGCUCCGUGAGAGGGGCGGCGGGGACUGCUCCGCCGCGUGCGUCGGGAAGAUGCGGAGCGAGGUGUCGGCAGGUGUCGGCCGUGUUGUGUUUAGUGCGCGAGGCUGCUGGGCUCCCAGGAAGCCCGGGUAUAGGUGUCGUCAUCCAGCUUUGUGCAGUUUCAGAGCUCACUGAGACCUGGUACACACACCAGGCUGGUGGUACUAAGUUGAUGACAGCUCUUUCUCAGAAAUGUCUUCUGUGUUACUUCAGAGCUGGAGUUGAGGACUUGUUGAUUACCUCCGAUUUAUCAGGAUUACAGCAAAUUAGAUUUAACUGUGACUGGCAUGUGAACUAUCUGAUGUUUGGACAGGGAUGAGGAAUAUUGCUAUGGACACCACGGUGAGUUUCAUUUCUUUUAAGUAAUGAGAUUUUAUGUGCUUGCCUUAAUCAUUGCAGACUUAUCAAUAUGCACUUUAUGAUAUAUUAGCUUUUGGUUGAAAUAUGAAUGAGCCAACAACCAACUGAGGUACUUGCAGUUGGAACCUUGGUUACUGGAUAUAUUAAGUUAGUUCCGUGAAACAGUGUGGUAUAAAUGGUUUAGAAAGCUCUGGUAGGUCCACGUCUGUUCUAAUGAUGAGCAAGGUGGACAACACCCCUGUGAGUGAACAUUAGGGUCUCAUGUAUAUUUUCAGGUCCUUCUGAGACUCACCAUUCUAUAAACAAUAAGCUUCUCAAUGAGAGGAAUCACAUCCUCCACCAGGUAUUCACCUCUGUUCCUUCCUCCAUGCUGGUGCUCUGUACCUCACAAACCACAGCUGUGAAUGAUCUAAGGUCCCAGAUAAAGAGUCCUGAGGGAGAAGAAAUCCCUAGUUAAUUGCAGCAUCAUAAGAUGCACAGCAAGAAAGAGAACAAGUAGGAAGACAAGCCUACCAAUUUCUUAAAUCUUAGACGAGAUCAUUAGACAUCCUGAUAAGGUUGCCAUAAUCUGAUGGAAUUCAGAUGCAGUGGGUAGUGCGGAGUGAUAGUUUUGCUGCUGUCCUGCUAUAAUGCCUGAGUGACAGUGGACCAGUGGCAAAUGACUGGCAGCUUUCAAGCAUUCUGACUCCUUCUAUAGCCAUACACUUCCCAGGCCCAUUUCGGAAUGUGGCCCAGAGCCCGACUGCCUUCGGUUACCCUGACUUGCAGCUCUCAGCAUUUUCUUGUUUAUACUUGUACUUUACCACACUUACUAGUAUGUUGCUUUUAAAAGUAGUUUCUUUAUUUAUUUCAUGUGUGACUUCUGCCUCUCAACUUUGUCACGGGCUGUUUGAAACCCAGGACAGUGUGCUUACAAUUUCAUCUUCUAACUCCUUUGUUUUGGGCACAUAUCAGAUGAUUAGUACAUGCCAGCUGGCUGAUGGAAACUUCAUUUCAACUACUUAGAACUGUUACCCUUAGGCCAGGCUCCUGUCAUUUGAAAAUAGCUUUGACUUUAUGAGUCAGAGUCACUGUGUUGAAGGUUCAGGGUCACUUUGAUUUAAAGUGGGUGAGGAGUUCAUGUCUUUUUUGUCACCAGUGUCAUCUUUCCUACCUCUUCACCACACUGUUUCUUUAACAUAAAAAAGAAAUAGAAAACCUUAACUAUCCAUGGGGCAAUCUCAGGUCACUCAGUUUUAAAAUGUUUGACAUCUGGGUUUUUUUUUUUUUUAUUGAGUUAUGGUUGACAUACAAUGUUAGUUUUAGGAGUACAAUAUAGUGAUUAGACAUUCUGUGUAGUAUUUGUUGCUGAUCGUGAUAAGUGUAGUCAUCAUACAUGGUUAUUACAGUGUUAAUGACUAUAUUCCGUAUGCUGUACUUUUCAUCUCUGUGGCUUACUUGCUUUAUAACUGAAAAUUUGUACCUCUUAAUCUGACAUCUGUGGGGUUUUGACAUCUCUGUGCUCUGUUUGCUUCAAAAUUAUCUUAACAAAAUUGACCCUUUCUUUUCCAUGUGAGUAUAAGGACCAACUGGCCUCUAUCACAUUGAACUGGCCCCUAUCACAUUUAUGGUCUUUCUGCUAUAAGGAUGGCAUAUCUCUCUACUUACAACUUCUCAUAUAUUCUUUAAUUAGGUUUUAUAAUUUUUGUAGAAAAGAUACUUCACAUAUUUUUUGAGAUUUGUCCCAAGUUAUAUUUUAAUUGUUGCUAAUAAAAAAAAUGCUUCUUCUGAAAAUGACAUCUUAAAUUAUUUGUUGCUAGUGUGUAGUAUCACUAGUUUUGUAUGUUCAUCUUGUGUUUGGCAGCCUUGCUAACUGUUCUUAUCGUAAAUAAUUAAAAACAACAAUACAAAGAAAUAAGCCCCCCCCAAAAAAAGUACUAAUCAUUUCAUUCUCAUGUACAACUUUUAGUACCUGCCUAUUUCCCAUGUUUCUAGGGUCCUUAGCCUGACUAAACGUUUGCCACAAUCUGGCUCUAGCUGCAUUUUCAAGGCCGCAUUCUUUUUUUUUUUUU
rnacentral:lncRNA from 1 species